ACGGCUCAGUAACACGUGGUUAACUGCCUUGGGACGGAAACACCCCCGGGAAACUGGGGCUAAUUUCCGAUAGGUGAAGGCUCCUGGAAUGGAUCUUCGCUAAAGGGUGCUUAGACCAUGCUUCUAGGCGCCGCCCAAGGAUGGGACCGCGACCGAUCAGGUUGUUGGUGAGGUAACGGCUCACCAAGCCUUUUACCGGUACGGGCCGUGGGAGCGGGAGCCCGGAGAUGGGCACUGAGACAAGGGCCCAGGUCCUACGGGGCGCAGCAGUUACGAAAUUUCGCAAUACGCGAAGGCGUGACGGAGCCAUCCCGAGUGCCGUCCGCUGAGGAUAGCUUUUCCCCAGUAUAGAUAGCUGGGGGAAUAAGGAGAGGGCAAGUCUGGUGUCAGCCGCCGCGGUAAUACCAGCUCUCCGAGUGGUAGGGAUGUUUAUUGGGCCUAAAGCAUCCGUAGCCAGCUGAGCAAGUCCCCAGUUAAAUCCAGCGAUUUAAUCGUUGGACUGCUGAGGAUACUGUCCGGCUAGGGGGUGGGAGAGGCCGACGGUAUUCCCGGGGUAGGGGUGAAAUCCUAUAAUCCCGGGAGGACCACCAGUGGCGAAGGCUGUCGGCUAGAACAUGCCCGACGGUGAGGGAUGAAAGCUGGGGGAGCGAACCGGAUUAGAUACCCGGGUAGUCCCAGCUGUAAACGAUGCAGGCUAGGUGUUAGGGCGGCCACGUGCCGCUCUAGUGCCGCAGGGAAGCUGUUAAGCCUGCCGCCUGGGGAGUACGGCCGCAAGGCUGAAACUUAAAGGAAUUGGCGGGGGAGCAC
rnacentral:rRNA from 1 species